ACAACAGAUUUAUCUUUUAAAAUGUUUGCAAAUUUUUGGUUCGGAUACAAAAAACCAAGUGAAAAUGGUACUGGAAAGACUGUUUACCGUUUGACUCCUGUCCCAAUCUAACCUAGUGGGUUCAAAAAAAAGGGACCUCGCUGGAAACAGAGUGGAUUAAAAGGAUUUUAAUCAACUCAUGUUUCAGCCCUUUUUGAAUUAAUAGUCGAAGUGGUAACCAGCUGGAAGUCGUAACCUGCUCGUAUGAAAGGAUUUCUUGACGUGAAAUUGUUAAUUUUAUUCAACAACGCCAAGAAACAGAGCUCUCUCAAGAAACAGAAAAGAAAGAGAAAG